GUGGCCCUGAGAGUUUUCCCGUCUCCACGAGACAGGAUGAUGGUUACAGUGCAGGGGUUGGCAAGGACACGGUGGGCAUGAGGAAAAUGAGCUGUACACAGAGCCUGGCUGAGCAGUUCUUUUCCUGUCUCUGGCUUGGAGUGCGACACAGCAGAUUGGGGGAAGCUUCAGAAAGCUGGUAAAGAACACCAGGGAAUGCUUUCAUUGCCUGCUACAUUGAUAUUUAACUUAGAAAUACCGAACAAAUGAGGAAAAGCAGCCAGGUCUAGGAAACAAACACAGUGACUAAGGGCAUUUACUGUCUGUCUCCACAUUCAAAGACUGGCCUCAAGAAUCUGACAGAGGAAAAAGAGGAUCUGGCAAGAAUGGAUAUUUCAACAGGCAUCCCAAGAGGGCUCUGAGAAUCACUAGCUAACGGAUGACUCAGAAUUGAUGGCAUUUUGGUCAGAGCUACGAUGAAGCUACUAAAACAGCCAUUCUCUCAUCAGGAGCUACCAAGUUUAUUUACACAUUAACACGAUUGUUCCAGACACCUAAAAAAGAAUAAAGUUGAGGACAAAAGAUAAGCUCUUUAGGAGGGUAAACUGCCAUUUAAGCUGAAAUUGUUUCAUAAAACAACCUCUAUAAACAUGAUGCUCAAUCUGUUUCACAUAUAAUUCAAAAUUCUCUUAAAGGGCUGGGGUUGUGGCUCAGUGGCAGAGUGCCUGCCUAGCAUGUGUGAGGCACUGGGUUUGAUUCUCAGCACUGCAUAAAUUAAUAAAAUAAAUUGACAACUAAAAAAAAUGUUUAAAAAACUCUGUUAAAUACGUCUUUUCUCCCCCAUGAAAAUAAAGUAGGAGAGAUCCUUCUUAAAUCCUUCUCAUAUUUUUUCCAAAGGUUAGAUUAAAAAAAAAUACACCAUGGCUUUUUAACAAUUGUGCUAUUCUCACUUUGAAGUGGGCACUUUAAAACUCUAAGCCACAGCGUAUGCAUGGUUGCUGGGCACACGCAUAAUUGCCAUAGCAACACAAUUACUAGUGUUGCUCUGAAAUGCCCUGUUUGGGCAGCAAGUAAUCUAGAUGAAGAAUGUCCUUGGACACCUGCUUCUUAUUGUAGCCUCUGUAUUGGCUUGAGGGUGGUCAGACUUGGUUCUCUCUUUUUCUGAAUUUGGGGACACACACACACACACACACGCUUACAUAUUUACUCACAUGCAUAUUCUUGACUAAAUUGUAUUAAUCAAUGCUUUCAUUGAUUUCAUUGUGGCAAGAGGAGGAGAAACACAUUACAAAUAACCUUGCCCUGCGUGUUGAUUGAAAGGGGGGGGGUUCUUUUGUGUUCAUUAUGUUCAAACUCUAGCUAUUUGUAAUUUUAGACAAUUUCGGCUUUCCCCUAAUAAAAUCUAGCUUGCUAAAAUAGCACUGAAUAGUGUAACAUUUUCUUAUCUUUACUUUUCAUUCAUGUUCUAGGCCAUAUCUGUUCAAUAAGUACAUACUAUUAAAAUUUUCUAUCCAGUAUUCAAUGUAGAUAUUUAAAAUAUUCCUCAUGAGGUUGGGCAUGGUAUUGCACACCUGUAAUCCCAGUGGCUCAGGAGGCUGAAUCAUGAGUUCAAAGCCAGCUGCAUCAACUUAGUGAGACCUUGUCUCAAAUUAAAAAAUGAAAAAAGGGCUGAGGAUGUUGCUUAGUGGUUAAGUACUCUUGGAUUCAAUCCCUGAUGACAGCAACAACAAAAAAAUCCGCAAGAGAUAUAAAGAUAUAAUUAAAUUAAAAUUAAAUUGUUCUGUAAAUACAAUGUAAUUAGGGUGUUUAGGCAUAUGUGCAAGCUCUAUAAUAUUGAUAUUUGCAAAUAUUGGGACUGCCAGAAAUGAACAAAUGCCAAAAACAAAUAUUCACAGCAUAGUAGAUUGGCAACUAAAGAAACUCAAGUGUGUAGCCUAAAACAUUCCAAAUACUUCUGUUCACAAGUUAGGAAAUGAAUGGAGAUCUUUAAAGUCAGGUUUAUACACAAUAAGUGAACCCAAAUCACUCAACCUAGCAGAGACCCAUCUUCCUGAUAGGACAGAAGUAAAAGCACUGUUAAGUUUAAGUU